ensembl:lncRNA leucine-zipper-like transcriptional regulator 1 homolog
UGGUGAUCGAGAGAUGAGUCAAAGUAAUCCCUGUCUGUGGACCCCGCUCCCCCAGAGCUGUAAAUCUCCAAGUGACCGCUACAAGCAUGCCUGCUGCAGCUAUGGUGGAUAUGUCUAUGUCCUGGGAGGCAGAGAGAACAGCUGUCUGAGAGACUUCUGGAAGUACAGUGUGGUGUGCAACGAAUGGACACAGUUGAACUGCACCAGCGAAGCUGCACCAGAAGAGUUAGAGGAACAUUCGAUGGUGGCUCAUGAGGUAAAAUUGAAUUUAAGUUAUGCACUUUUUUCAUGUGUCGGUCUCUGGAAUGAUGCUGCAAGUAUGUAGCUUUGAUCUUUUCAGGGUUUUAUAUACGUUUUUGGAGGCAUGUUGGAUUCCGCCUACACAAAGUGCGCCUGUGCUCUCUGGGUAUUUGACAUUGCAAAGCAGAAGUGGGUGCACUCCCAGGGAAAGACUCAGGAUAAAAUGCCGACCAACAGAAAAGGACACAGUGCUGUGGUGAUUGGCUCUGCCAUGCUGAUGUACGGAGGAUUCAUAGACAUCAAAGGGUCCUCACAAGACUUUUGGCGUUUGGAUUUUGAUACCAUGUCUUGGUGCCUGUUGGGUAGUUCUCAGCAAGGUCCAGGCCCUAGACACAGUCACUCAUCUGUGGCCUACCAAGGUUGCAUGUACCUGUUUGGGGGACUGAAAGGCUUGCGGGAGCAGAGAGACUUCUGGAUGUGGAAUUCCACUUCGCACAUGUGGAGUUCACUUAAAAAUAUGUCCGCCCCUCCCAGACUGAUGGGACACUCAGCUCUGCUCUAUAAGGACUGUAUGCUUCUGUUUGGGGGAGGUGAGAGUCAAGAUUCUCCAAAGAACUGCCUAUGGAAGUACAGCUUCUUCGAUCAGACCUGGACACAGGUCGCUACGCUCCCAAACUCCAAUCCUCCACACAAGAUUCACCACUGCUGUGCUGGGCUGGGUCCCAGCUACAAGUCCAGCACCAGCAGUCCCUGUUCCAGUUUCGAAUCCAAACGGACACUGCUGGAAGGGAAACUCAGGCCUUUUAAGAACAAGUGCUUUCCUGCCCCCCUCACUUUCCUGGGGUCAGAGGGUGCUAUAGAGCUGGAAACUUUCAGUCCAGAUAAGUGCUAUGAAAACACAGCACAGAGACACUCUCUAGAACUGAGCAAAGAGAUGGGGAAAGAUGCACAGUGGAUCGGAAGUUGUUUAACCUUUGAGAACAGAGCCGUCAGGACACAAUGGAGCUACACAGAGGAGGACCUGCUAAAUGAGGAGGAUGAAGACAUUAUGCAGCAUCUGCCUGACCAGCUGCUAGUGCUGGGAGGAAGACCCUGCAGCCAACACGGCACCAUUUCCAUGUGGCAGAUGACAUUCUAAGACAUUUAUGAAUAUUCUCUGUGUUAGAAUCAUCCAAACAGUGUUAUCACCUAAUCCUUAUGUUAAAGAGUUUACUGACAUUCUGUACAUAAAAGUUUUACAUGAAAUAUUGGUAUAUUUUUUUGAUUAUUUUUUUGAUUUUUUUGUUCUUGCAUCUAUCAAACUUUGGUCAGUAAAUGGCAUUUAAUAAAGCAAUACCAGUUGUUUUACA